rnacentral:rRNA from 1 species
ACGGGAGGCAGCAGUGAGGAAUAUUGGUCAAUGGGCGAGAGCCUGAACCAGCCAAGUAGCGUGUAGGAAGACUGCCCUAUGGGUUGUAAACUACUUUUGUGCGGGAAUAAAAAAUGCCACGUGUGGCAUCUUGCAUGUACCGUUACGAAUAAGGACCGGCUAAUUCCGUGCCAGCAGCCGCGGUAAUACGGAAGGUCCGAGCGUUAUCCGGAUUUAUUGGGUUUAAAGGGUGCGUAGGCGGCAUGUCAAGUCAGCCGUGAAAUUGCGGGGCUCAACCCCGUACUGCGGUUGAAACUGGCGCGCUUGAGUGCGGGAGAGGAAGAUGGAAUUCGUGGUGUAGCGGUGAAAUGCAUAGAUAUCACGAAGAACUCCGAUUGCGAAGGCAGUCUUCUGGUCCGUAACUGACGCUGAUGCACGAAGGUGCGGGUAUCAAACAGGAUUAGAUACCCUGGUA